CCAGUUUACAAGGUAACAAAUAGGGAUUCGUUCCAAGACCUCGACUGCAUCGACAGCAGGAGCAUGUAUUUCCUGCAUAGAUGUCUUUUUCUUGAUCUCUCCUUCCUUCUCUGCAGUCUGAGAAGUGGCAAAAUUCCUACGGAAAUGGAGACAGGGUUUAGAUAAAUGUUAGGUUAUUGUGAAUUGCAUAAGAAAAAUGUUUUUUUUAAAUACAUUUUGUUGUAUGUUUGCUUGUAAAAGAAACGUUUUAUUCAAGUACUCAAGCAUAGCAUUAUUUCUAUUAAUGACUGUGGCUGGGUGGCAGAGAGUUUAUUAAU